UCAGCCUGGGAGGCAGCAGUGGGGAAUAUUGGACAAUGGGGGGAACCCUGAUCCAGCGACGCCGCGUGAGUGAAGAAGUAUUUCGGUAUGUAAAGCUCUAUCAGCAGGGAAGAAAGAAAUGACGGUACCUGACUAAGAAGCCCCGGCUAACUACGUGCCAGCAGCCGCGGUAAUACGUAGGGGGCAAGCGUUAUCCGGAUUUACUGGAUGUAACGGGAGCGUAGACGGCGAUGCAAGCCAGGAGCGAAAGCCCGGGGCCCAACCCCGGGACUGCUCUUGGAACUGCGUGGCUAGAGUGCAGGAGG
rnacentral:rRNA from 1 species